rnacentral:rRNA from 1 species
GCGAACGCACCUUCGGGUGUUAUUAGAGUGGCGGACGGGUGAGUAACACGUGGGAACAUGCCUUUCGGUACGGAACAACGCUUGGAAACGAGUGCUAAUACCGUAUACGCCCUUCGGGGGAAAGAUUUAUCGCCGAAAGAUUGGCCCGCGCUAGAUUAGCUAGUUGGUAAGGUAAUGGCUUACCAAGGCGACGAUCUAUAGCUGGUUUGAGAGGAUGAUCAGCCACACUGGGACUGAGACACGGCCCAGACUCCUACGGGAGGCAGCAGUGGGGAAUAUUGGACAAUGGGGGCAACCCUGAUCCAGCGAUGCCGCGUGAGUGAUGAAGGCCUUAGGGUUGUAAAACUCUUUCAGAUGGGAUGAUAAUGACAGUACCAUCAGAAGAAGCUCCGGCUAACUCCGUGCCAGCAGCCGCGGUAAUACGGAGGGUGCGAGCGUUAAUCGGAAUUACUGGGCGUAAAGCGCACGCAGGCGGUUAUAUAAGCUAGAUGUGAAAGCCCCGGGCUCAACCUGGGAAUAGCAUUUAGAACUGUAUGACUAGAGUCUUGGAGAGGGGAGUGGAAUUCCAGGUGUAGCGGUGAAAUGCGUAGAUAUCUGGAGGAACAUCAGUGGCGAAGG